UCUGCAUCUCCAGGAGGUGAGAUGGCAGCUGGGCAAAAUGGGCACGAAGAGUGGGUGGGCAGUGCAUACCUGUUUGUGGAGUCCUCGCUGGACAAGGUGGUCCUGUCGGAUGCCUACGCGCACCCCCAGCAGAAGGUGGCAGUGUACAGGGCUCUGCAGGCUGCCUUGGCAGCACUCCUUGCUCAAGACCCCUCCCCAGUACCUACCCUUCCAGGCCCCCCUUUCCCAUCUCAGGGCAGAGGCCACAGGAGGCUGAAGUGGGUUGGGGGAUCUGUUCGUGGCCUCAGAGCGGCGAAAGCCCCUCUUCUUCCCGAGCAGUGGGAGCCGCGCUUGGUGGAGGCUGAAGACCUGAGACCUCCCGCCCUUCUCUGCCCUGCUGGCCGCCUACCCAGACGGCUUGUUUGCCCAGGGCACACGCCCCCUUUUCUGUGCUUCGAAGUCCCUCUCUUUUGCCAACCCUCAUUUGGGGCAUGAGAGCAGGGGCUAGGUGGCACCCACUCUGUCUUGGGGUGCUCCCUGUGACAGGUCCUGUUCUUCUUUCUGGGUUAUUGCUGUUUGUAUCCCAAUUUUGCUUCCCAGCUGGGUACUCUGGGGUAACUGCACCCUAGGUCAGGGGAUGGGACGCGGGGCUUCACCACGGGCUUCGCCCCUCCUCCGGCCAUUUGAAGAACGGCCGAGCUUGGGGACCGCCCGGCGCCUGACCGCCCGCCUCCGCAGAGAGCGGCGGGAGCCCGGACGUGCUGCAGAUGCUGAAGAUCCACCGCAGCGACCCGCAGCUGAUCGUGCAGCUGCGAUUCUGCGGGCGGCAGCCCUGUGGCCGUUUCCUCCGCGCC
rnacentral:sRNA from 1 species